rnacentral:rRNA from 1 species
GUGAGUCAUUGAGUCUUUGAACGCAUCUUGCACCAUAUGAGCAAUUGUAUGGUAUACCUGUUUGAGAAUCGUAAAGACCCACUUCCUCUCGGUUGAGAGGAGAAUUGUCGGUUGUCGGCAUAUAAUGUGUUGACUCUGAUUAAAAGCAGAAGGUCUGUGACCAAGCUAGUGGCUUGGGACAUUGUGUGCUAGGAGCGACUGCGGUUGAGUUCUCUCGACAUGCAAGUCUUCUCACAAUGCGUCCUAAGCCCUUUGAAAAGCUGGCUUGGUUACGGCCUACACAGUGCUAUUUCGAUAGUACAACUUUACCCUCUUUGAUCUCAAAUCAGGUAAGACUACCCGCUGAACUUAAGCAUAUCAAUAAGCGGAGG